UGGGGAAUAUUGGACAAUGGGCGCAAGCCUGAUCCAGCCAUGCCGCGUGUGUGAAGAAGGCCUUUUGGUUGUAAAGCACUUUAAGCGAGGAGGAGGCUACUUGGAUUAAUACUCUAAGAUAGUGGACGUUACUCGCAGAAUAAGCACCGGCUAACUCUGUGCCAGCAGCCGCGGUAAUACAGAGGGUGCGAGCGUUAAUCGGAUUUACUGGGCGUAAAGCGUGCGUAGGCGGCUUCUUAAGUCGGAUGUGAAAUCCCUGAGCUUAACUUAGGAAUUGCAUUCGAUACUGGGAAGCUAGAGUAUGGGAGAGGAUGGUAGAAUUCCAGGUGUAGCGGUGAAAUGCGGAGAGAUCUGGAGGAAUACCGAUGGCGAAGGCAGCCAUCUGGCCUAAUACUGGCGCUGAGGUACGAAAGCAUGGGGAGCAAACAGG
rnacentral:rRNA from 1 species